rnacentral:tRNA from 1 species
GGUGGGUAUAGCUCAGUGGUAGAGCCCAUGCUUAGCAUGUAUGAGGUCCUGGGUUCAAUCCCCAGUACCUCCA